AAGUCCGUACGAGCGCAACCCUGUCCUUAGUUACCAGCACGUUAUGGUGGGCACUCUAAGGAGACUGCCGGUGACAAACCGGAGGAAGUGGGGAUGACGUCAAGUCAUCAUGGCCCUUACGGCCUGGGCUACACACGUGCUACAAUGGUCGGUACAAAGGGUUGCCAAGCCGCGAGGUGGAGCUAAUCCCAUAAAACCGAUCGUAGUCCGGAUCGCAGUCUGCAACUCGACUGCGUGAAGUCGGAAUCGCUAGUAAUCGUGAAUCAGAAUGUCACGGUGAAUACGUUCCCGGGCCUU
rnacentral:rRNA from 1 species